GAUGAAGAACGUAGCGAAAUGCGAUAAGUAAUGUGAAUUGCAGAAUUCAGUGAAUCAUCGAAUCUUUGAACGCACAUUGCGCCCCUUGGUAUUCCGAGGGGCAUGCCUGUUCGAGCGUCAUUAUAACCCCUCAAGCUCAGCUUCGUGUUGGGGCCUGCUGCACUGGCAGCCCUUAAAAUCAGUGGCGGCGCCAUCUGGCUCUAAGCGUAGUAAUUCUUCUCGCUAUGGAGUCCUGGUGGAUGCUUGCCAUCAACCCCCAAUUUUUCUAUGGUUGACCUCGGAUCAGGUAGGGAUACCCGCUGAACUUAAGCAUAUCAAUAAGCGGAGGA
rnacentral:misc_RNA from 1 species